UACGGAGGGUGCAAGCGUUAAUCGGAUUUACUGGGCGUAAAGCGCGCGUAGGCGGCCAAUUAAGUCAAAUGUGAAAUCCCCGAGCUUAACUUGGGAAUUGCAUUCGAUACUGUUUGGCUAGAGUGUGGGAGAGGAUGGUAGAAUUCCAGGUGUAGCGGUGAAAUGCGUAGAGAUCUGGAGGAAUACCGAUGGCGAAGGCAGCCAUCUGGCCUAACACUGACGCUGAGGUGCGAAAGCAUGGGGAGCAAAC
rnacentral:rRNA from 1 species